AUUGAACGCUGGCGGAAUGCCUUACACAUGCAAGUCGAACGGCAGCACGGGGGGAGCCCUCGUGUAGAGUGGCCAACUGGCGGGUGAUUCAUCGGUACGUGCCCGGCUGCUGGUGCUUGGGUAAUGACGGAUAGGCACAUACGCUAUUAGAUCAUAGGAUGAACGCGGGGGACCAUCGGGCCUUGAGAGAUUGGGGGAGCCGAUGAGAGGAUAUCUGAUUAGCUAGUUGGUGGGGUAACGGCCCACCAAGGCGACGAUCCGUAGCUGGUCUGAGAGGAUGAUCAGCCACACUGGAACUGAGACACGGCCCAGACUCCUACGGGAGGCAGCAGUGGGGAAUAUUGGACAAUGGGCGCAAGCCUGAUCCAGCCAUGCCGCGUGCAGGACGAAGGCCUUCGGGUUGUAAACUGCUUUUGUUCGGAAAGAAAAGGCGCUGGCUAAUACCUGGGGCUCAUGACGGUACCGAAAGAAUAAGCACCGGCUAACUACGUG
rnacentral:rRNA from 1 species